GAAGCCGCGAGCUGAAGGGCGAGGCCGGGCGGGGCGCUGGGCUCCGGCACCUCGGGCUCCAUCCUGUGUCGCCUCCCGCAGCUCCGGGCUAGCUCAGGCCGUCCUCCCGUCGUGUUGCACCGCUCUCCGGUGGCGAAGACGGAGCCCACACUCGCCGCACAGCGAGUCAGAGCCUCUGUCUCUUGCAAAAUAGAGAUUUCAUGAAAGACAAAGCCGUACCGUGUGUCAUGCGGCUUACAGUAAAGGACUGGGCAGGCUCUGUGCUCAUCCCGCAGCUCCGGCUCCUCCCAGUUCCCUGCUUUCUGAAAUCACUUCGAAGCGUCUCCCCAUGUGAUUAGACUAGACGGACCGGCCCGGUGCGGGGUCAGCACCUGCUUCCCUGGUUCCCCAGACUGGGGAUUCAGCUCUCUGCAGAAAGGCCACAUGGAGAGCUGAGGCAGAAGCAUCACUCCGUCAGACUCUUGGGAUGAGAAGUAUGGAGCCUGGAACCAUAUAAGGUGAUAAAGCCAGAGCUUCACUUAUUCCACAAAUGUUAACACCUGCUAAGUGCCAGGCCUGUUCUAAACACUGAGGAUCCCACAUGAACAAAGGAGACAAAAAUGUCUGCCUUUGUGAUGCUUCCCUCAUAGUGAAAGGAAACAAUUAAAAAUAAGCAGGUAAAACACGUAUAGUUAUAUGUCAGAUGGUGAAAAAUGCUAAGGAGAAAUAAGAGAGCUUGGGAGUGACAACAGUGACUACAUUUAGCUUUGUUUUCUAACAGUGUAUCUGGGGUUCGGAGCAGAGCAGAGAGAAGAUGUGGCCCUCGUGCUGGGACGAGCCUGCAUUGCUGGGAUCAGUGUUCAUUUUGCAGCACUGCCUUUGGGACAAACACACACUCAGUGUCCCCACUAAGUCCCUCUUCCUCCCCAGGUGGUGUCCAUUCUCACACAGCAAACUUAAGGGGCAAGCACAUCUCUGGAGAGUGGAUCAGUGCAAGGCUGAAGUUACUGAAAUGUUCGACCAGUUGUGCCUCAGAUUUGACAGCAGAGAUGAUUAACAAUAACAUAAUUAUUGAACUGCAAACAAACAAACAAACAAAAGGUGUUUCUCAGAACUGAAAAAUCAGAGAAGCAGUGAAUAGCCCUGAGCAGGCCUGCACAAGCCUGAGCUGAGACCCGCACAAGCACACCUCCACUGCCAGGAGCACCUCCAAGCUUUCACCCCUUCCUAAACCCCUGACCAGAAGAUUCUGGCUGUGCCCAAGUUUCUCCAGGAGAGGGCAACACCACCUUAACAAACUGCCCUGCCAGCAGAUGUGCUGUGGCUGCCAGAAUGAGGUCAAGAUAUUUAAGGAAGCGGGAGGUUGCAAAAAACCAUAUAAAAAUAGAUUGUGUUCUAUUUCUGUGUUUUGCCCAGUCUUUGACUAGGCAAGGCUGCAUAGCAGUCUGUCUGUUGUCACUUAACCUUUAGCAUUGCUGUGCCCACUGACCAAUUCAUGAAGACCAGUGCUGUGACUCUGCCCCAUCCCUCUCAGAAUGUACCCAGAAUUUCUCAAGGAAAUAGCCAAUAAACUCAGUCACCCUGGGUGAUACAAUUUCAGAGCUGGAAGGAGCCUUACUCCACAGUCUAGAAACAGACCGGGAGGUAGCGCCACGGCUGCUGUCACAGCUGAAGAUUGCGCAUCCCUGCCCCACCGAGGACCCGCCUCGGCUUCAGAUGUUUCCUCACCAACCCGGAGAUCCCCGUGCUUGGGGUGGGGAGACGGAGCCGUGGAAGAGGGUGCGUGCUCAGAGCCACCUCCCAGAGAGCUGAAAGUAGAGCCUCCUAGCUGCACCCUUCCAUCCACCGCUUCCAGGCGUCCUCCUGAGGACGGGCAGCCCACUUGCUGGCCACAGCAGAGAGGCCGGCACUCGUCGGGAACUACAGCUCCCAGCAGACACCAGAGGGGGACAGGCUGUGCCCCUGUGCCUGUUCCAGAUUCCCAAAUAUGGAGAAGGACUGGGCUUGGGGAGAGGAACUGAGUGUUCACCCUUGAGAGAGGGAGAGAGAGAGGAUGAGGUGACAUGUAGCAGUGAGUGACUUCCUUCACCUCUAAGACUGAAGCUCCACGGACUGGCUGCGGAGCAGGGAGGAAGAGGAACAGGUCAUUAAAAGGAAUAAUCAAGCUUGGUCUCUGAGCCCUUCUCCAAGGAGAAGGUGAUGGGACUGCAACCUUACAAAACAGCCUGAAUUACCAAGAAGACCACACCUUGAGUGCUUAGGAGAUAAAGAGGUCUAACUGCUAACUGGUCGCCCGGAGGCAUCAUGACGCCCUUCUGAGUCUUCUGAUGAGAAAAUGGUUCUGCUGCUUGUUAUCGAUGCUUUAUUGUUCGAGCUCUGGCUGUAUAACCACCCCACCCCAUCCCCAAGGGGGUUCACAGUUUUGAAGGCACUAGCCUGCUGUGAGUCCCCUUUGCCCAGCAAAGCAAUAAAAUUGCCUCUUUUCUUCUAA